CACGGGGGGAGCGAACGUUGUUCGGAAUCACUGGGCGUAAAGGGCGUGUAGGCGGUCCGGUAAGUGAGAUGUGAAAUCCCCCGGCUUACCCGGGGAACUGCAUCUCAUACUGCUGGACUUGAGUGCGGGAGAGGAUGGGGGAAUUCCUGGUGUAGCGGUGAAAUGCGUAGAUAUCAGGAGGAACACCGGUGGCGAAGGCGCCCAUCUGGCCCGUUACUGACGCUGAGGCGCGAAAGCUAGGGGAGCAAACGGG
rnacentral:rRNA from 1 species